AGCUGAUUUGAUCCUGGCUCCGGAUGAACGCUAGCGGCAGGCCUAACACAUGCAAGUCGAGGGGUAGAGUUCUUCGGGACUUGAGACCGGCGCACGGGUGCGUAACGCGUAUGCAAUCUACCUUAUACAGGGGAAUAGCCCAGAGAAAUUUGGAUUAAUACCUCAUAGUAUUUUCGAAUCGCAUGAUUUGAUUAUUAAAGUUCCAACGGUAAAAGAUGAGUAUGCGUCCCAUUAGCUAGUUGGUAUGGUAACGGCAUACCAAGGCGACGAUGGGUAGGGGUCCUGAGAGGGAGAUCCCCGACACUGGUACUGAGACACGGACCAGACUCCUACGGGAGCAGCAGUGAGAAUAUUGGACAAUGGGCGAAAGCCUGAUCCAGCCCAUGCCCGCG
rnacentral:rRNA from 1 species